rnacentral:rRNA from 1 species
UACAGAGGGGGCAAGCGUUAUUCGGAAUUAUUGGGCGUAAAGAGCUCGUAGGCGGUUUGUCGCGUCGGCCGUGAAAUCUCCACGCUUAACGUGGAGCGUGCGGUCGAUACGGGCAGACUUGAGUUCGGUAGGGGGGACUGGAAUUCCUGGUGUAGCGGUGAAAUGCGCAGAUAUCAGGAGGAACACCGGUGGCGAAGGCGGGUCUCUGGGCCGAUACUGACGCUGAGGAGCGAAAGCGUGGGGAGCGAACAGG